rnacentral:rRNA from 1 species
UACGGAGGGGGCUAGCGUUGUUCGGAAUUACUGGGCGUAAAGCGCACGUAGGCGGCUUUGUAAGUUAGAGGUGAAAGCCCAGGGCUUAACCCUGGAAUUGCCUUUAAGACUGCAUCGCUAGAAUUGUGGAGAGGUAAGUGGAAUUCCGAGUGUAGAGGUGAAAUUCGUAGAUAUUCGGAAGAACACCAGUGGCGAAGGCGACUUACUGGACACAUAUUGACGCUGAGGUGCGAAAGCGUGGGGAGCAAGCAGG